rnacentral:rRNA from 1 species
UACGUAGGGUGCAAGCGUUAUCCGGAAUUAUUGGGCGUAAAGAGCGCGUAGGCUGUUUGGGAAGUUGCCCGUUAAAUCUCCAGGCUCAACUUGGAGCAUGCAGGCAAAACUCCCAGACUAGAGGAUAGCAGGGGCAAGCGGAAUUCCCGGUGUAGGAGUGAAAUCCGUUGAUAUCGGGAGGAACACCAAUGGCGAAGGCAGCUUGCUAGGCUAUAUCUGACGCUGAGGCGCGAAAGCGUGGGGAG